ensembl:lncRNA
CUCCCUCUCCCUCUCUCUCUCUCUCUCUCUCUCUCUCUCUCUCUCUCUCUCUCUCUCUCUCUCUCUCUCUCUCUCUCUCUCUCUCCUCUCUCUCUCUCUCUCUCUCUCUCUCUCUCUCUCUCUCUCUCCUCCUCUCCUCUCUCUCUCUCUCUCUCUCUCUCUCUCCUCUCUCUUUCCCUCCCCUCCCCCCCCCACUCGCCACCAGCCUGCUUUCCUAGCCCCAGCAGUGGGAAGCCGAGGUUCGAGGCCCCCCUCUCAGUGUCUCCUCUCCAGUUGAGGAAGGCUUUUAGUAUCUGGACUGAAAAAUGAAUGAAUGAAUGAACAAAUGGACGAAUGAAUGAAUGCCAGGCAACAAGCAGAAUGACAGAUUGUGCCUCAGCCCAGGCUUCUGAUUCUGGGCCAGCCCCCUGGCAGUCCCAAUCCACCCAGGCCCAAGAAACACACAGGAGGCAAGAUGAGCACAGGCCAGAGAUGGGGGCUUUUAUAAGACAUCAAAUAUACAUUCUUAUGUACAACAAAGAGAAGAAAAACAGACCGGGGCCAACCGAGACAGCGAGGCCCCUCCCUCAGGCUUUGGACCAACGCUCUGCCAGCCCCGGCUGUGCGCAAGCCAGGCUGCACCCCUUGUCCGCUCCCUGGAGGCAACUGGGGCCGGGUAGGCAGGAAAGAAUGGCAAGUACUGCGAGGACAUGCGGGCAGGAGGGAGGCUAGAGGGCUGGCUGGGGCACUGGGGUUGGUUUCAAAAACAUCUUCAGAAUAAACAAGGAGGCGGCCAGGACCGAGUCUAUCUGAGUUGUUCCUGUCUCAUCCCUAUUCCUCGGGUGUAUUCCUAGAGGCUCCUCUGGGGGGAGCCUGAGUCCGGAGCCCCUUCUGCCCAACCCUGUCCUGCCUGAGCCUGGCCAGCCCAGUCUCGCCCAGUCUGUUGGACUCCCGGACUGUGCUCCAACUGUCUCCUGGCCCACCCACCGGCAUGACCCCCAACACGCACACACACAUAUACGCACACGCUCUACUCUCCCAGGAGCCCACCCUGGGGGGGUCUCUGAGAGUCCCUGUCCAUCCCAACAUUUGGGGAGAGGAGAACUACAAUUCUAUUCUCUCCCUACUUCCCCGGCCUAUAAAGUGCAUUGGCUGAUGGAGAGGGAUCAAGAGCUAGGGGGAGGACGAGGAACGGUGGGAUUCAGCGUUCCUUCCGGAUCAGCCUAAAUUGGGAUUUCUACUCUGGGUGGGAAGGAGAUUCCCCUGAGCUCUGAGUUCAGAGGAAGCAGAUUGAGAAGCAAAGGGCAGACCCAAAGGUGGGAGGGGAAAGGGACCCAAGCGGCUCCAACCCUGUAGCCCUUACCUCUUGCCAAGCAUGUGGGAGGGGGAGUACCUCCAUAGAAGAGGAACAGGGUCAAGCCCUGGCAAGAGCCCCCCCUCCAUGGCCCACCUUCCUGGGGGGCACCCUUCUAGGUGAGUCUCUUUACAGGCCCUCCCAUGACUCCUUGGGGGCCAUGGGGACCAUGGUAUUGAGGACUUUCCUUCUUUCUCUCUACUCCCACAUCUUCUACUCAAUGAUUGGGUAGUUCGGGGGAAUCCAGAGCCCCCGAGGAAAGCUCUGAGCAGUGUGGGCCCCAGGUUGAGAUCCUAGGCUGAUGCCAGAUUGUUUUAGACCCACCCAUCCAGGUGAAGUUUCUGGUUUUAUAGCAGAGACUGAGCCUCAUGGGGUGGAGGGGGAGACAAGAUCAUAACAAAAUCUGGAGGUGACCCCUCAUUUUUGGAGGGGGCUGCCAGGGGAGGGAAAGGGGUUUGGCCCCCCCUAGGAGUAGGACUGGGGACGGGGUCAUUUGGUGGCCACAUCUCUCAUGUUCUCUGUACAUGGACUUUUUUUGUUUUUUUUGUUUUUUUGUUUUUUAACGAAGGGCAGGCAGAGAGUGUCCCGGGAGGAUCCAAGGCCAACCCAGAAGGUGGCGCGUUGACUUUCUGCUUAUGAUUCAAACGACAGUGCUGAUCCACGGCUGGCGGGCUUGGGUUCCCGGGGGGCGGACUGUGGGUGGCCGUGACUGGCUUGGGCGGUGGGUGGGGGGAAGGGGGGUGGGUGAAUGUGGGGUGAGUGGGGUAUGGGGUGAGGGCGGAGGCAGCGGUGGGUAUGAAGGGUGGGGUGGUAUCACAGGCGAGUGAGGCGACAGUGGCGACUGGGGUGGGUGCACUGGCCCUGGGUGGCCCCCCCCACCCCCCCCCCUCCAUAGGGCCCUCCGGGUGCUGACCGGGACAUCAUCGGCGGGGGGUGCCCGCCAAAGAUAAAGUGCUUGGGGCCCUGUUUGGAUGCACUGGCCACGUGGUGGACACCAGGUGGCGGUGGACCUGCCCGGGGGU